AGCAGCCGCGGUAAUUCCAGCUCCAAUAGCGUAUAUUAAAGUUGUUGCAGUUAAAAAGCUCGUAGUUGAAUUUCGGGAUCAAUAUGUUGGUCGUGCCUCGGUACGUACUAGCUUAUUGGUUUCUCCUUUCUGAAGAACCAUGAUGUCAUUUAUUUGGUGUCGUGGGGAAUCAGGACUGUUACUUUGAAAAAAUUAGAGUGUUUAAAGCAGGCUCACGCUUGAAUACAUUAGCAUGGAAUAAUGAAAUAGGACGUUUGAUUCUAUUUUGUUGGUUUUUAGGAUCGACGUAAUGAUUAAUAGGGAUAGUUGGGGGCAUUAGUAUUCAAUUGUCAGAGGUGAAAUUCUUGGAUUUAUUGAAGACUAACUACUGCGAAAGCAUUUGCCAAGGAUGUUUUCAUUAAUCAAGAACGAAAGUUAGGGGAUCGAAGACGAUCAGAUACCGUCGUAGUCUUAACCAUAAACUAUGCCGACUAGGGAUCGGAUGAUGUUAAUUUUUUUAAUGACUCA
rnacentral:misc_RNA from 1 species